UACGUAGGGGGCAAGCGUUGUCCGGAUUCAUUGGGCGUAAAGAGCGUGUAGGCGGCCAGGUAGGUCGGUUGUGAAAACUGGAGGCUCAACCUUCAGAGGUCGACCGAAACCAUCUGGCUAGAGUCCGGGAGAGGAGAGUGGAAUUCCUGGUGUAGCGGUGAAAUGCGUAGAGAUCGGGAAGAACGCCAAGGGCGAAGGCACUCUGCUAGGCCUGAUUUCGCGACUGACACUCAGGGACGAGAGCCAGGGGAGCGAAUGGG
rnacentral:rRNA from 1 species